UACUUACUCUACAUGUGUGUCACUUGACGACCACUGUGAAGAGAGUAAAAUGUACAGUGGUUCUCUUGGGGCUCAAGCGUAACGUAGAGUGCUGGUC
rnacentral:pre_miRNA from 8 species